UACGUAGGGGGGCAAGCGUUGUCCGGAAUCAUUGGGCGUAAAGCGCGUGUAGGCGGCUUGGUAAGUCCGCUCUGAAAGCCCCGGGGGCUCAACCCCGGGAGGCGGGUGGAUACUGUCAAGCUCGAGUCCGGAAGAGGCGAGUGGAAUUCCUGGUGUAGCGGUGAAAUGCGCAGAUAUCAGGAGGAACACCAAUGGCGAAGGCAGCUCGCUGGGACGUGACUGACGCUGAGACGCGAAAGCGUGGGGAGCAAACAGG
rnacentral:rRNA from 1 species